rnacentral:rRNA from 1 species
AACGAACGCUGGCGGCAGGCUUAACACAUGCAAGUCGAACGCCCCGCAAGGGGAGUGGCAGACGGGUGAGUAACGCGUGGGAACGUGCCCUUCGCUUCGGAAUAGCCCCGGGAAACUGGGAGUAAUACCGAAUACGCCGUAUUGGGAAAGAUUUAUCGGCGAAGGAUCGGCCCGCGUUAGAUUAGCUAGUUGGCGGUGUAAUGGACCACCAAGGCUACGAUCUAUAGCUGGUCUGAGAGGAUGAUCAGCCACACUGAGACUGAGACACGGCCCAGACUCCUACGGGAGGCAGCAGUGGGGAAUUUUGGACAAUGGGCGCAAGCCUGAUCCAGCAAUGCCGCGUGCAGGAAGAAGGCCUUCGGGUUGUAGACUGCUUUUGUACGGAACGAAAUGGUCCUGGUUAAUACCCGGGGCUAAUGACGGUACCGUAAGAAUAAGCACCGGCUAACUACGUGCCAGCAGCCGCGGUAAUAC